rnacentral:rRNA from 1 species
UAUAUGGUCAAGAAGAGAAGCGCAAACGGUGGAUGCCUAGGCAGUAAGAGGCGAUGAAGGACGUGGAAUCCUGCGAAAAGCUUUGGUGAGUUGGAAAUAAGCGUUGAACCAAAGAUGUCCGAAUGGGGGAACCCGGCUAUAUGAGAAUAUAGUCAUCUGUAUCUGAAUACAUAGGAUAGAGAAGCGAACUCGGGGAACUGAAACAUCUAAGUACCCGAAGGAAAAGAAAUCAAAUGAGAUUCUCUUAGUAGCGGCGAGCGAACGGGGAAGAGCCUGGUGUGAUUUAUAGUAGACUGAAGUAGAACGACCUGGGAAGGUUGACGAUAGAGGGUGAUAGUCCCGUAUACGAAAGGUUUAUUAAGAACUAAGCACACGAGCAAGUAGGUCGGAACACGAGAAAUUCUGAUUGAAUAUGGGUGGCCCAUCAUCCAAGGCUAAAUACUCCUUACUGACCGAUAGUGAACUAGUACCGUGAGGGAAAGGCGAAAAGAACCCCGGAGAGGGGAGUGAAAUAGAACCUGAAACCGUUUGCGUACAAGCAGUGGGAGCAUGACUGCGGUUAUGUGACUGCGUACCUUUUGUAUAAUGGGUCAGCGAGUUACUUUCAGUGGCGAGGUUAACCGAUUAGGGAAGCCGUAGAGAAAUCGAGUCUGAAUAGGGCGCGAGUCGCUGGGAGUAGACCCGAAACCGGGCGAUCUAGCCAUGCCCAGGAUGAAGGUUGGGUAACACCAAGUGGAGGUCCGAACCGGGUAAUGUUGAAAAAUUAUCGGAUGAGGUGUGGCUAGGAGUGAAAGGCUAAUCAAGCCCG